UGGAGCAACAAUGAGAGUGUAUCAUGAAAUAAGGGCUAGGAUUAAUCUAUUUCUGAAUAACUGAAAUUCUAG
rnacentral:snoRNA from 1 species